CACACUGAAGGAUAAGGGCCAGCAAACAAGAUGUCUUUCCUACAAACGUUAGAAAAUGUCGAGCUGCCUAAAGUCCUGAGAGUCACAGAGGGAUGUCUCCGCAUACCUAGAUGGCGGACGUUUAAGGCCGGUGAAUGCAUUGCUGUGUUUUCGUGUGAGAGGCAAAUAAUAGUGAAGGGAUGUUUAAAGUCAACCGAGUCUCGCGAUUUAAAACAAGAACUAGGGUUUAUCCCGUUUGACACGUCGGAACUGUUCUACGAUAUUCAUUGCAUAGGGAAAAAGUACACGGCCAUAGACGAACUUGUGAAGGACUUUCCAAGAUUCCUGCUCCCGACUUCAGAUGUGUUUGCAAUUGUUGAAAAGGAAAGUGACUGUGAGAGCAUCCGGCUCGAAAAGAGAAGUUUACUGGAAGUUGAGGAAAUUCGGGAAUACAAAGGAAAUUCUUGUUCCCAAGAGGACUAUACAAAUGCACAGGAUCUGCAUGGUGAGAUGCUUUGCUGUUCAGUGAAAGACGGACCAAACUCUGGACUUGACAUCAUUUUGCCAAACACAUUACGAUGUGAAAUGGAGAUUAUUCAAGACACAGAAAAAUAUUCAAUGCAAGACAUUGUCGAACGAUUCAAUUUGCCGCGAAAACUGAAAUUUUGUGACCCCAAAAUUGACCAACACCUUAUUGACACCAAAAAGCUAGAAAACGAGAUUCUUGCGUCCUCUUUAUCCAAUAAAAUGAUUUUUCUAGCAGACCUGGGAAAGUGUAAUUUGGAAUGUAUUGACGAAUUCGUCCGCGAGUGUUCGAAUGUUGUUUGCGACCUUGUCGAAAACCUAGACUUAUCUCACGUCCAUGUGGAAGUUCUCAAAAACACAAUGGAAGAAAUAGAAAUAUUCAGCCCUUUUUAUGCCUUUCCAGAGACACCAACGUUUGAUAAUAUCCAGACUUACACUCUUAAAGGAACGGACAAACAACCCGGCUCCAGUGGCAAAUUUGACAAAGGGUGAAUCUGUGACAGAGGAGCAUCCACCACCACGCCGACGCGAGUUUGACGAGUAUAUACAGCUGUGGGACCCCACCAAAUCUAACGACACAAACGUGACCGGAAGUAAGACGGGUAGCUAUGACGCAUUAAUAGGAUUGGGCACUCCUCCACAAUUGUCUAGUCCAACCUGUGCAACACACAUCACCCAGCCGCCGAACGGAUCAAAGCCAGAGAGAGUGACCCCGCCUUCUGUUCUCAACAUUUCUGACCCCGCCCCCGUAAAACCUAGAGUGAAUCCAACCACAGGACAAAUGAAUUACGAUAGAGUGCCCAGUCCGACCCUUCCCCCGCGAGUCCGAGAGAAAUCGCACACGAUACCAACAACUCCGGUCAAGGUCAGCUGUAUCAGCAAAAGGUCAGGGUCGUUGCCAACGGAUUCACUGGCUGUGUCCGCAGAUUCCGAUCAUAGCAAUUCUAUUCAUCAUUUGGGAGUGGAACAGUUAUGCGCUCUCCUGAAGGAGUACAAACUGGACAAGCUGGCGGAGGUGUGUGUCGACGAAAAGCUGGACGGGAAUUUCUUGGCGUGCUUGAAUGAUGACGACCUUAAAGAGGAACCGUUCUGUCUCGGAAAUUUCCAAAUCAAGAAACUGAAUAAGCUUAAGACAGGCUGGCGAUCAAAAUAGAACUUACUUUUACAAAAUGAAUAUAAUCAAACUUCUCUACAAUUCCAAGAGAGAGAGAGAGAGAGAGAGAGAGAGAGAGAGAGAGAGAGAGAGAGAGAGAGAGAGAGAGAGAGAGAGAGAGAGAGAAUGUGUUAAAGUUACAUCCAGUUUUGAUUUGUUAUCAUCAUUUGUGUUCAUACUUGUAUUAUAAUAGUCAUUUUGAUAUUAAAAGAGAUAAAAUGGU
rnacentral:misc_RNA from 1 species